GACCCCGUAGCUCAAUCGGAUAGAGCAUCAGUUUUCUAAACUGAGGGUUCCGGGUUCGAGUCCCGGCGGGGUCGCCA
rnacentral:tRNA from 1 species